rfam:Salmo salar isolate Sally breed double haploid chromosome ssa09, whole genome shotgun sequence.
CCGAUCCCAACUUGUAAGUCGCUCUGGAUAAGAGCGUCUGCUAAAUGACUUAAA